CAGCCCUGUAGGAGACACCUCCAGAGAAAGUAACAGCUCUCAAUUGAUUAGCUGAGAAUAAACAGAUGCUUUUACAGCUCGCAUUGGCGGGAAGUUCUGGCACAAAUGAAGUAUCUAUAAGGAGCAGCAGAGUCAAGGAAGACACCAGACAAAUGAGUUACACUGUUUUGGACUCCCCAACACAAUCCAGCCACCGGCUGAAUGCCACCAAAUUACCUUCUAGUUAAAGGUUUAUGGAGCAAACGAAUCACCUAUUCAAUAUCUGCUUGAAUUUCUGACUCAAAAUACAUCAGGUAUGUACUGUGUGACUUAAAUAUUGAGUUUAUUUUUAUCAAAUACCUGUCAAGAAAGAAAGUCAAUUCUGAAACAGCAGAAGCUCAAAGUUCUACAGAUGGCUUUCAAAGGAAUUUGAAUUAGACAUCAUUUGAUGUUGCAAAAAACAAUGACAUCUUUUAUAGCUCUAAACAUCAGUUUUUAAAUUAGAGAUUGAUCUAUAAA
rnacentral:lncRNA from 1 species